rnacentral:rRNA from 1 species
UACAGAGGGUGCAAGCGUUAAUCGGAAUUACUGGGCGUAAAGCGUGCGUAGACGGUUAUGUAAGUCGGGUGUGAAAGCCCCGGGCUCAACCUGGGAAUUGCAUUCGAGACUGCAUAGCUAGGGUGCGGAAGAGGGAAGCGGAAUUUCCGGUGUAGCGGUGAAAUGCGUAGAUAUGGGGAGGAACACCGGUGGCGAAGGCGGCCAUCUGGACGGCUAUUGACGCUGAGACGCGAAAGCAUGGGGAGCAAACAGG